ACGUCAUAUGCUUGUUUCAAAGACUAAGCCAUGCAUGUCUAAGUCCAAGCUGUGUGUUGUGGGUGCAAGCUUACACACACGGCGAAACCGCGGACGGCUCAUUAAAUCAGUCGUAGUCCAAAUGGGCUAGUGUUAUCUUACUCGGAUAACUGUGGUAAUUCCAGAGCUAAUACAUGCAACUGUAAAGUCUGAGUGACUGGCAUUUCGGUGUCGGUCGCGACGACUGCUUUUAUUAGACCAAACCGCUGAGGGUAGUAAUACUCGUAGACUCGUGUUAUGGUGACUCUGAAUAACACCUCUUGACAAGCGCACGUAUCCAUUUAUUUGGGACGGCGCUGCCACUUUCGAGUGUCUGCCUUAUCAGCUAUGUAUCGUUCGUUAUGUGCGACCGAUGGCUUUGACGGGUAACGGGGAAUCAGUGUUCGAUUCCGGAGAGGCAGCCUGAGAAACGGCUACCACGUCCAAGGACGGCAGCAGGCACGCAAAUUACCCAAUCCCAGCAUCUGGGGGAGGUAGUGACGAAAUCUAACGAUGCGGGCGCCCCUUCUGGGGCCCCGCAAUCGGAAUGAGCAUUUUCUUUCUAAAAACCCUGUUGAGAACCUACUGAAGGGCAAGUCUGGUGCCAGCAGCCGCGGUAAUUCCAGCUUCAGCAGCAUCUACUAAAGUUGCUGCGGUUAAAAGGCUCGCAGUUGAAUGUCAGUAUCAAGUGCAGCGAUGGUGGACGUUGGAGUGUGGGAAUGUUUGUGGCGGGGGUUGCGGUUGUCCUCACGGAUGGUCGUGCUCUCGUGGCUUCUUCCUACUUUAACUCCCGUCCGUAACAAGCCUCCUCACUUGCGUACAAAGUGGAAUCUAAUGGUUGAAGUGUCUCGCGUUGGCGGAGUUGCGCGUGUGGUCCGCGUGGUGCCUCACGGUAUCGCGCGCGAUUGUGCGUAUGCGCUUUGUCGGCCGUCUCUGAUACUGGUUUUCAAUGUCACCUUGAGUAAAUCAGAGUGCUCAAAGCAGUCGUAAAGGAUGUGCUGCGUUAACGCGUAGUACGUUCUGUGAUGAAUGUCUAUAUGACAGACAGUCUUGAUUUUGCAUGGUAUGUCGAAAGACGCCGUAUUUCCUAUUGGUAACGGGUCUGGUGCGGGCUUGCAUCCGGGGGAUUCUGUCCCUCGUGUGUGACACACGAGACCAAUAGGUGCGGAAUGAUUAAAAGACACGGUCGAGGGCAUUGGUAUUGCGGGGCGAGAGGUGAAAUUCUAUGACCCCCGCAAGACCUCCUGAAGCGAAAGCGUCUGCCAAGGACGUUUUCAUUAAUCAUGAACGAAAGUUAGAGGAUCGAAGGCGAUCAGAUACCGCCCUAGUUCUAACCCUAAACGAUGCCAACCAUCAAUCCGCGCGUAGCACCCUUUCUAACGGGCUCGGCGGGCAGCUCCUUUUCACGGGAAACCAGAGUCUCUGGGUUCCGGGGGGAGUCUGGUUGCAAAGCUGAAACUUAAAGGAAUUGUCGGAAAGCCACCACCAGGCGUGGCCUGCGGCUUAAUUUGACUCAACACGGGCCAUCUCACCAGGCCAGCACUCUUGUACGAUUGACAGAUUGAGAGUUCUUUCUCGAUUCAGUGGAUGGUGGUGCAUGGCCGUUCUUAGUUGGUGGAGUGAUCUGUCUGGUUAAUUCCGAUAACGAACGAGACUCUCCCCUGCUAACUAGUCGAUUGGAUUUUGCGUUCGAGUGCGUAGUGUGGGCCGUUGGUCUCCUUGCUGUCUCUGCGUGUCAUAUGUGGGCAUUCGUGUCUACCUCUUUGAUGUGUCUUGGUGGCUUGCGAGCGCCGCGUGUUUGUGCUACUUCUCCAAGUCCGUCGCUUACUUACGCAAGUGAUGUGUAACAGCAAAGCUAUAUAUGAGUAAAACUCUUCUUAGAGGGAUUCACGGUUCUGAAGCCGUAAGAAACUGAGAGCAAUAACAGGUCUGUGAUGCCCUUAGAUGUUCUGGGCCGCACGCGCGCUACAAUGCCGGGCUCAGCAGGUAUCUAUCCUUCUCCGAGAGGAGUGGGUAACCCUCUGAAAGCCCUCGAAACAAUUUAUAAAGGUCGGUGCUUUAGUGCCUUCCUUCCUUGGCAUGCUUGGGCCUGUGGCUUGCAAAUUUUUCACACAAACGAGGAAUGCCUAGUAGCAGCGGAUCACUGAGUCGCGUGACUCAGUCCCUGCCCUUUGUACACACCGCCCGUCGCUACUACCGAUUGGGUGUACCAGUGAGAUCCUUGGGUUGGCGAGCUUUUGACCUAGCAAUAUKCCGCAAGUGUGUACKAUGGGAA
rnacentral:rRNA from 1 species